UCGAAGCGCAGUGCCGGACAUGCAUUUUGACUUUGCUACAGCUGCUUCUUUACUCCGUAAUUUUUAUAUCAUCUCUAAAAAAAAUAAUAAUUUCGCUCGCAGUACGCUACACUAUUCUUUUUCACUCUUCUUGGAACGACAAGUAUUGUGCGAGGUGUUUAUUAUCGAUUACCGUGUGCUCCUUUCCAUGAGAUUUAACUACAUAGCAAACAGUUGAACGUUCACCGUUCAUCAGUGUCAAUUCACUGUUCUCGAAACAUUGUGGUUUCUAGACAAGACGCUGCGUCCUCUUGCCUUAAAUUUUUUCCAUCAGUGUGUCUCGUCCUACCAAUCCAAUAGAGAAAUCCUGGGGACUACACUGCGUCAGCUUUCACUAGAGUGCAGACCACUCAGGAUCUCAACACAACAGCUCCACAUUAGCCUGGCAAGAACCACACAAUAUUUUCUAUGGAAAUCAGGGACAACAUGGAGGGUCACAUGCAGCUAAAUAUAAUGGUCCUAUUACAAGUAUGUGAAAACAUUGGAGAACAUGUGUGACUGCACAUUAUAUUACACUUACCUUGGCGAGUCCAAGUUCAUCUUCCGUUGCCGAUCGAGCUGUGGAUGGCUCUUCACAACACCAGACACCCUUGACUGAAUACGACAUCAGCUGCACCAUCCAUUGCCUCCGCUACUCAUUUAUAACAAAUAGAACAUACUCUUUCUGUCCGUCACAGCCCUUUGUAACAAUUUACGUAUCAAGUAUUUUGAUAACUAAAGGGGAACUGUAUACACGUUGAUAAAACAUAUCUGAAUUCCACUCUCUGCGUCUUGAAACAAAUGUCCAAACAACAGUCUAAACAACAUUGUAGCUGAGUAAAGUUUAGUGCACGUUCUAACCUCAGAUCAAGUGAUGUGUAAAGCAAAACUGUAACUUCAGGUAUCAAUUAUUACCAAGCUGAUAUUUCAGCAUUGAACUUUGAUUAUUUCGAAAGACUGUAUGAAAUUAAUUUACUGAAACUGCAAUAAUGUAAAUAUUGAAUAUGAAAAUUAAAUUAUGACAAAUAUCAACGAAAUUCAUGCUAUGUAAAUUGCAUUGUAAGUAAAUGUGAGGUUGAAUGCCGUAUUAUGAGGUUUCCCUGCCUAGAUGGGAAGGCAUGUAAUUAAAUUGUCCUACAAUAAAAGAUAGCACUCUGCCUCACGAA